UUGUUAAUAUUGUUUUUACAUAACUCUUUAUUGAUAUUUCUGUUUACGUUUACAUUGAUCUAGGAAAUUAUCUUUAUUGCGAACCAAAUCUUAAAUUGUAAUUUCACGAACUCUAAUCCAAAUAUAAUCAUAUUUAGUAUCCAUAAAAGUAGAACUCGCCAGAGUUCCUUUUCCCAAACUCAUUAACCGUUCUAUGCCAUCUCGGAACGUAACAGAGCGAUCCGUCAGUGCUUAUCGAUCACAAACAGAGGAUCUGUUCUUUUUAGCUGGUUGCACUAGUUUAGAGUUUAUCUUUCUUCUUCCAGUGUAAGAAAAAAAAAUAAACUGUGAACUAGUACAAUCAGUUCAGCCAAAAAGAACAGGCCUAGAGUCUGCUGGAUGGACGCUGCCUUGAGAUUUUUGAAGAUCACGUGACUUACAGGUUACCUAACUACUUCAUUUUAAUAAUACACGUAAGUCGUGUUAAAACAUAACAGAUUGCGAUAUUGGUUCCUUCAAAGCUUCUUAUCCAUCGGUUUCUCUGUGAUACUGACUUCAGCCGUAAAAAUAUUGAUCUGCGAUACAUUUGUGCCUGAUCUGAAGAAAUCGGGUACAAGAUCAUCAAAUAAUUUUACAUGUGCAUUUCUCGAUGCUAGAUUUGUUUCUUUGAAGCUUCUUAUUCAUCAGUUUCUUCGUGAUAUUGGUUUCAGUUGCAAUAUUGAUUUGCGAUACAUUUGUGCCUGAAGAAAUCAGGUGUGAGAUCAUCAAACAAUUCUACACACGUGUUUCUGGAUGCUAGUUUUAAAUUUUCUUCGAAGCUUCUUGUUAAUCGGCUUCUAUGUGAUACUGGCUUCAGCUGUAAAAAUAUUGAUUUGCGACACAUUUGUAGAAAAAUCUUGAUCUGAAGAAAUUAGGUGCAAGAUCAUCAAAUAAUCAUAAUUAUAAUAAUAUCAUUAUUAUAUAAUAUAAUAAUUAUAAUAAUUGAUACUAGUUGCCAUUUCCGCUUAAAUCUGCUACCUAUUUGCUAGCAAUUACUGAUACUUUGUUUAUACUGAAUAUGUUACAAAUUCUAUACGAAUCUUCCUACGGUCUACACAGAUAUACGUUUACUAUUUUAUAUAAACUCAACUAAAUUAUUGUAAACAUAUGCGCGCACGUGUACGGAAUGGAAUAGGAAUACGAACUAUAAAUAUCCAUAGGAUGAAUAAAUAAUAUCUCAUGAAUUAU